GUAGGUGGCAAGCGUUGUCCGGAAUUAUUGGGCGUAAAGCGCGCGCAGGUGGUUCUUUAAGUCUGAUGUGAAAGCCCCGGGCUCAACCGGGGAGGGUCAUUGGAAACUGGGGAACUUGAGUGCAGGAGAGGAAAGUGGAAUUCCACGUGUAGCGGUGAAAUGCGUAGAUAUGUGGAGGAACACCAGUGGCGAAGGCGACUUUCUGGCCUGUAACUGACACUGAGGCGCGAAAGCGUGGGGAGCAAACAGGAUUAGAUACCCUGGUAGUCCACGCCGUAAACGAUGAGUGCUAAGUGUUGGGGGGUUUCCGCCCCUCAGUGCUGCAGCUAACGCAUUAAGCACUCCGCCUGGGGAGUACGGUCGCAAAGACUG
rnacentral:rRNA from 1 species